rnacentral:lncRNA from 1 species
AUUUCAUCGUGCGAGCUGACUCCAAACUAAAAGAUCAGACCAGAACUCCUUUGCUUCAGGAAUCAAAAUGCCUCGUCAUUUUUACCACAACUUUGUUCUGUGGAUCUCGCG